rnacentral:rRNA from 1 species
AGUGAACGCUGGCGGUAGGCCUAACACAUGCAAGUCGAACGGCAGCACAGUAAGAGCUUGCUCUUACGGGUGGCGAGUGGCGGACGGGUGAGGAAUACAUCGGAAUCUACUUUUUCGUGGGGGAUAACGUAGGGACACUUACGCUACUACCGCAUACGACCUACGGGUGAAAGCAGGGGAUCUUCGGACCUUGCGCGAUUGAAUGAGCCGAUGUCGGAUUAGCUAGUUGGCGGGGUAAAGGCCCACCAAGGCGACGAUCCGUAGCUGGUCUGAGAGGAUGAUCAGCCACACUGGAACUGAGACACGGUCCAGACUCCUACGGGAGGCAGCAGUGGGGAAUAUUGGACAAUGGGCGCAAGCCUGAUCCAGCCAUACCGCGUGGGUGAAGAAGGCCUUCGGGUUGUAAAGCCCUUUUGUUGGGAAAGAAAAGCAGCAGGUUAAUACCCCGCUGUUCUGACGGUACCCAAAGAAUAAGCACCGGCUAACUUCGUG